rnacentral:rRNA from 1 species
UACGUAGGGUGCGAGCGUUGUCCGGAAUUAUUGGGCGUAAAGGGCUCGUAGGCGGUUUGUCACGUCGGGAGUGAAAACUCGGGGCUUAACUCCGAGCCUGCUUCCGAUACGGGCUGACUAGAGGUAUGCAGGGGAGAACGGAAUUCCUGGUGUAGCGGUGAAAUGCGCAGAUAUCAGGAGGAACACCGGUGGCGAAGGCGGGUCUCUGGGCCGAAACUGACGCUGAGGAGCGAAAGCGUGGGGAGCGAACAGG